UGUAUAAGAUGUAGGGUUUUCAACCUGACAUUGUGUCUUUCCCUUCAAUAUAGUCUUUGAAUUCAACCCUUCCUUAUGCUACAUGUGCUUUGGGGGAAGUGGACCCCUUACCCAAGUUUCAGGGGGGCACUGAAGAGCUAACUCAAUAGCUGCCUAAUGUGAUGAGCUCAGAAAUGAGAAAUCUGGCCAUGUUAUCUGGUCAGAGGGAACUUGGGAGCCUUGCUUGACUCUUGAAUCUUGGAACAGAGUCAGUCUCUCUCUCUUAUUCACACACACACACACACACACACACACACACACACACAUCCUGCACAUGAGGAAGAAGAAGGAAGCAGCCCAUCCUGGGAGAGCAGGACAGUCCACUGGGAGCAGAAGAAUCAGCCUCAUCAUGGAGCUGACCUGGAGUCAGAGCAGAGAAAUGGAGAUGAUACGGGGUCUUGGUAACAUCACUGUGCCACCAGGCUGGCCCGUGUCUCUUCUAACCUCAACAUGCAAGCUCUGGUGGUGAAGGACAGUGUGGAUCAGCAAUCUGUGGGGAUCAUAGCAACCCUUUUGUGUUCUAGCAACUCUUUAGACCUGUCUGGCUGUUUCUGACCCUG